AUUGAACGCUGGCGGUAGGCCUAACACAUGCAAGUCGAACGCGAAAGUCCUUCGGGAUGAGUAGAGUGGCGGACGGGUGAGUAACGCGUAGGAAUCUAUCCUGUAGUGGGGGAUAACGUUUCGAAAGGAACGCUAAUACCGCAUACGCCCCACGGGGGAAAGCGGGGAAUCUUCGGACCUCGUGCUAUAGGAGGAGCCUGCGUCGGAUUAGCUAGUUGGUGAGGUAAAGGCUCACCAAGGCGACGAUCCGUAGCUGGUCUGAGAGGAUGAUCAGCCAAACCGGAACUGAGACACGGUCCGGACUCCUACGGGAGGCAGCAGUGGGGAAUAUUGCGCAAUGGGCGAAAGCCUGACUCAGCCAUACCGCGUGUGUGAAGAAGGCCUUCGGGUUGUAAAGCACUUUCAGUGGGGAGGAAAAGCUGGUGGCUAAUAUCCAUCGGCCGUGACGCUACCCACAGAAGAAGCACCGGCUAAUUCCGUGCCAGCCGCCGCCGUAA
rnacentral:rRNA from 1 species